CCCCCCUUGGCGGAACGGUAGACGCAGGCGACUUAAAAUCGCUCACCCUUAGGGUGUGCCGGUUCGAAUCCGGCAGGGGGGACCA
rnacentral:tRNA from 1 species